AAGCUAUCAGCGUCACGAAUUGUCGUGUUCUAUCUAGGUAUUUAACGUUUUCUAAAUAUGGAUCACGAUCUCGAUGCAUUCUACAGUGGUAAUCAAAUUUCUCAACGGUUAAUAACAAUGUCUUUUCCAUGAAAAUUACCAUUAAUCAAUCCCCAGGAACAAAUCACAAAUCGGGGCCUCCCUGUUCUUUUUACAACAGAUAUUUUUAAUUCAUUUUAUUUAGUCCGUUUUAGUAGUAGGUGGAAAAAAAUCCAGCUUGUUUGCAUGAUGUGUUGUUGAAAUAAUAAUAAUAAAAAACAAAAAUUA